rnacentral:lncRNA from 1 species
UCUUUUGUUUGUGUGUGUCUGGUAAUAUCAAAUAACUCGGUUAGAAAAUUGGUUAGAAUGAUAGCAAAUUACAGAGUUAUCUCCCCUUAUUCGAUCAUUUCUAGUGCAUUUCAACCAAAUUGUAUCUUCUAUUACCAGAACAGAAAACGAAAAUGAAUGUUAUUUUUGUGCAUAACUACAUAUUAUGAACUGAAAUCAAUGUCAAUUUGGGUGGGGUUUUUUGGUCAUGUUUUCACCACUGCCUGAUUCUUAGGCAGACUGGCACUUAAUUGUAUUAAA